rnacentral:rRNA from 1 species
GACGAACGCUGGCGGCGUGCUUAACACAUGCAAGUCAAACGAGAAUCUACUGAAAGAGUUUUCGGACAAUGGAAGUAGAGGAAAGUGGUGGACGGGUAAGUAACGCGUGAGGAACCUGCCUUGAAGAGGGGGACAACAGUUGGAAACGACUGCUAAUACCGCAUGACGCAUAGAGGUCGCAUGAUCUUUAUGCCAAAGAUUUAUCGCGUCAAGAUGGCCUCGCGGCUGAUUAGCUGGUUGGCGGGGUAACGGCCCACCAAGGCGACGAUCAGUAGCCGGACUGAGAGGUUGAACGGCCACAUUGGGACUGAGAUACGGCCCAGACUCCUACGGGAGGCAGCAGUGGGGAAUAUUGGGCAAUGGGCGCAAGCCUGACCCAGCAACGCCGCGUGAAGGAAGAAGGCUUUCGGGCUGUAAACUUCUUUUAAGAGGGAAGAGCAGAAGACGGUACCUCUAGAAUAAGCCACGGCUAACUACGUGCCAGCCGCCGCCGUAA